rnacentral:tRNA from 1 species
GCCCGGCUGGCUCAGUAGAACGUGGGACUCUUGAUCUCAGGGCUGUGAGUUCAAGCCCCAUGUUGGGCA